ACCUAUGCAGGGGAAUAACCUCGGGAAACUGAGUAUAAUGCCCCAUAGUCCACUACGCCUGGAACGGUGAGUGGAUCAAAGCUCAGGCGGCAUAGGAUGGGCCUGCGGCGUAUCAGGUUGUAGGGGGUGUAAAGUACCCUCUAGCCAUCUACGCGUACGGGUGUUGGGAGACAUAGCCCGGAGAUGGAUUCUGAGACACGAAUCCAGACCCUACGGGGUGCAGCAGGCGCGAAAACUUGACAAUGCGAGCAAUCGUGAUCAGGGAACUCCAAGUGCAUCGGGUAAGACCGGUGCUUUUCUUGACUCUAAAUAGGUCUUGGAAUAAGGGGUGGGUAAGGACGGUGCCAGCCGCCGCGGUAAUACCGGCGCCUCAAGUGGUAGUCGCUUUUAUUGGGCCUAAAACGUCCGUAGCCGGUCUGGUGCAUUCGUGGGUAAAUCAACCCGCUCAACGGGUUGAAUUCUGCGAGCACGGCCAGACUUGGGACCGGGAGAGGUGUGGGGUACUCUCAGGGUAGGGGUAAAAUCCUGUCAUCCUGAGAGGACCACCUGUUG
rnacentral:rRNA from 1 species